UACGGGGGGGGCAAGCGUUGUUCGGAAUUACUGGGCGUAAAGGGCUCGUAGGUGGCCAACUAAGUCAGACGUGAAAUCCCUCGGCUUAACCGGGGAACUGCGUCUGAUACUGGAUGGCUUGAGGUUGGGAGAGGGAUGCGGAAUUCCAGGUGUAGCGGUGAAAUGCGUAGAUAUCUGGAGGAACACCGGUGGCGAAGGCGGCAUCCUGGACCAACACUGACGCUGAGUGAGCGAAAGCCAGGGGAGCAAACGGG
rnacentral:rRNA from 1 species